rnacentral:rRNA from 1 species
AUUGAACGCUGGCGGCAUGCCUAACACAUGCAAGUCGGGCGAGUGGCGGACGGGUGAGUAAUGUAUGGGGAUCUGCCCGAUGGAGGGGGAUAACUACUGGAAACGGUAGCUAAUACCGCAUACUAUCAGAUCAACCCAUAUGGGAUUAGCUUGUGGGUGGGGUAACGGCUCACCUAGGCGACGAUCCCUAGCUGGUCUGAGAGGAUGAUCAGCCACACUUGGACUGAGACACGGCCCAGACUCCUACGGGAGGCAGCAGUGGGGAAUUUUGCACAAUGGGCGCAAGCCUGAUGCAGCCAUGCCGCGUGUAUGAUGAAGGCCUUCGGGUUGUAAAGUACUUUCGGUCGGGAGGCGUUACCUGCAGAAGAAGCACCGGCUAACUCCGUGCCAGCAGCCGCGGUAAUAC